rnacentral:rRNA from 1 species
GUAGGGAAUCUUCCGCAAUGGACGAAAGUCUGACGGAGCAACGCCGCGUGAGUGAAGAAGGUUUUCGGAUCGUAAAACUCUGUUGUUAGGGAAGAACAAGUGCCGUUCGAAUAGGGCGGCGCCUUGACGGUACCUAACCAGAAAGCCACGGCUAACUACGUGCCAGCAGCCGCGGUAAUACGUAGGUGGCAAGCGUUGUCCGGAAUUAUUGGGCGUAAAGCGCGCGCAGGUGGUUUCUUAAGUCUGAUGUGAAAGCCCACGGCUCAACCGUGGAGGGUCAUUGGAAACUGGGGAAAUUGAGUGCAGAAGAGGAAAGUGGAAUUCCAAGUGUAGCGGUGAAAUGCGUAGAUAUUUGGAGGAACACCAGUGGCGAAGGCGACUUUCUGGUCUGUAACUGACACUGAGGCGCGAAAGCGUGGGGAGCAAACAGGAUUAGAAACCCCGGUAGUCC